UACGGAGGGUGCAAGCGUUAUCCGGAUUCACUGGGUUUAAAGGGUGCGUAGGAGGGCAGGUAAGUCAGUGGUGAAAUCUCCGAGCUUAACUUGGAACUGCCGUUGAUACUAUCUGUCUUGAAUAUUGUGGGAGGUGAGCGGAAUAUGUCAUGUAGCGGAUGAAUGCUUAGAUAUGAACAUAAAACACCAAUUGCGAAGGCAGCUCGCUACACAUAUAUUGACUCUGAGGCACGAAAGCGUGGGGAUCAAACAGG
rnacentral:rRNA from 1 species